UAUAAUACUCCAUAUAUUAACCUUCCUUCAAUUAUCCCUAAUCUCUUACAGAUUUAAUCUCAAAUCCUUCUUUUUCCUUUUCAUGUAAAUAAAAAUUUCAUUCUCUGUGUUAGAAGUCAUAGAAAUACAACUGAUUACUCGAAACUUUCUCUAAUAUUUAAGCUCGGUGUUGGAAGUCGAUAAUAAGAAUUGCACCAGC
rnacentral:lncRNA from 1 species